CGUUCUCUGUGGUGUACGUACUUAGUGAUCCAAAUGAGAACUAACAGACACUCUAAGGGAGCCUAGUUUUGGCGGCAGCGGGCAUGUUCCGCUCGUCGGAAUAGUCCAACCCCGCCAUACGGUGCCCACUUGGAAUUAGAGUUCUCCAUGUCGCUAUACGGCACCGGCGGAGAACAC
rnacentral:other from 1 species